UUUUUUUUUUUUUUUUUUUUUGGUUUUGCUUUUGGGGGCCGCACCCAUGGUACAUGGAACUUCUCAGGCUAGGGGGUCGAACAGGAGCUCCAGCUGCCAGCCCAGGCCACAGCCACAGCAACCCAGGAGCCAAGCUGCGUCUGUGACCUACACCGCAGCUCACGGCAACACCGGAUGCUUAACCCACUGAAGGAAGCCAGGGAUCCAACCCACAUCAUCAUGGAUACUCGUUAGAUUUGUUUCCGCUGGGCCACGAUGGGAACUCCAAAUUGGACUUUUCCCAUACCUAACACCUGACAACCCACCUGGACUUUCCCACUGGACACAGAAGCGCAGCGGAUAUCUCUGUCCCUGCCAUCCAGGGCUCUGUUUGGCCCUGCAGUGAGAGGACUGGGCUGCGGGCUGCUGUCUGGUUCACCUCCGGCAGGUUCCCACUCAUCUGCCACUGUCCUUGCUGCUCCAAUUCCUCAGACUGUCUCUAGUUACUUCAGUUACACUUGUUUUUUUCUUUUUCGGCCAUGGUAGAGUUCCCAGGCCAGGGAUCAGAUCUGAGCUGCACUUGCAACCUUGGCUGCAGCUGCAGCAAUGCUGGAUCCCUUAACCCACUGUGCCAGGCCGGGGAUAGCACCUAUGUUCUUGGCGCUGCAGAGACACCGCCGAGCCCACUGCACCACAGCAGGGACUCCACUUCUGUUGCAUUUUGCUUUUAAGUUAACUCACUAAUGUUUUUGCCCCCCUAAAUAGACUGAUUUAAAAAGGAAUAGGGAGUUCCCUGGUGGUCUAGUGGUUAAGGAUCCAGCAUCAUCACUGCUCUGACGCAGGUUCAAUCCCUGGCUCGGGACCUUCCACAUGCCACAGAUGAGGCGAAAAAAAAAAUGUUUAAACUUUUUUAAAUUACAAAAAUAAAAAAUAAAUAAAAAGGAAUGGGUAUGUCAGUAUCAUACAUGGAAAAGCAGUAUCUGUGCCAAAAAUAGGAAGUAACAUCAACUGCAGAAAAACAACAUCAUCUAAAUGCCAGCUCGAGUGUGCACUGCCCAAGACCGUGGGCAGGAGGUCUGCUCCCUCCCAGUUAUAAGGGGGCCAAGCCAGUGAGAGAGAGAGAGAGAGAGAGAGAGACAGAGAGACAGAGAGACAGAGAGACAGAGAGACAGAGAGACAGAGACAGAGAGACAGAGACAGAGAGACAGAGAGAGAUGGUAAAGCCGCCUACCAGUAAGGCAGGAUUUCUCCCUUUGACCAGGAUUGCUGUGUGAUUCAGAGCCCUCUCUGUGUCCCACCUAACCUCACCCCGGCAGAACUCACCAGUGGCUCACCUCUCACCUUUGGGGAACCUCCCUCUGGCCAAGCAGUUUUCAUUUCAUUUUUGGGCCUGGAACCCUAAGAGCCAUGGGCUGGCUGGGCAGGGAGGCCCAGCUGGAGUCUCCCCAAGGCUGGAUGAGGCCUCUCCACUCUCUAGCAGGCCCCUCCCUGUGCCAGCCCCCCCAGCGCCCCAAGGGAAGCAGGCACAGGGCCAGGCUGACACAGGGCAGGCCCAGCUGGGCCCCAGCAAGCCCCGGGGAGCCAGGGUGAGCUCAUCCCUCGCCCUUAAUUAUCUUCUUGGCUAAUGAGCAUCUGAAAAUCUUCAUGUUGUGGACAAGGAGGACCCCUGGGACGCUGGGGGCAGGGAGGUUCUAUGGGCCAGAUGUCACCCAUGGAGGGAGGUGGUAGGGGCCCCUAGAGAGGAAACGGGCUUGGGGAGGGGAGCUGCACUUCCUGCCUCUUUGCAGGGGAGAAAGCGGGGGCUGGGGGCAGGCGGCCUGGGGAGAGCUUAAGUGCAGGGCUUGAACCCGGGUUUGGUGCUCACCACCAGUGAUCUCUAGCAAAUACCUUAGCCCCUUGCUGCUCAAAGUGUGGUCCCCAAACCAUCAGUACCACCUGAGAGCUUGUGAGAAACGCAAAACCUCAGUUUCCCCAUCUUAACAUGGGGGUUAAAAUGCAUUUAUGCACAUAUAGUGCCCAGAAUGGGGUUUGUCGCUGUUACUCUUUAUUCAUUGCUAUUGAUGGUACCGAAGCAACUCUGGGCAAAGUGAAUGGCUGGGCUCAGGUGACCUAUUCCCAGCCCCCCAGAGGUGGGCUGUCCCUGUGAAAACCAGGAGCCUGAGGCUCACAGAAAUACAGUCAGUUGCCCAAGAUCCAAAGUCAGUUGUCUUUUUAUAGAUGACAGAACUGUGGGACAGAGAGGUUUGGCUGCUUUUCUAAAGCCAGCCAGUAGGAAAGGCUGCAUGGAACCUGGCAGUCUGACUCUCGCCUUCUAUGCUAUGCUGCAUUCCCCCCUCACCAUUUUUUCCUUCCAGAAUCUUUUCCCCCAAAGUGUCCCUGCUUCUCCUGUCAUCUCUUUGUCAGCUCUGGCUCUGGGGCUCCAAGCCUGCCCCUCCCAUGUCCUCACCACUAAUGAGGUCUUCGGCCACUUGAGGCUGAGACCACAGCGGCCACCGAAACUGGCUCUGUGGGAAGACCCUGCCACCUUUCACCCUGGGCUCCCAGGUGUGGCUGGCGGGGCAGGAGGCCUGGAGGCCCUGAGGGCAGCGCUGAGCAGACUCGGGAGCUGUUCUGUGCUGUUUGGCUCUGGCCUCUGGGGAGCCAGCCUGGAACCGGAGAGCCCUCUGCCUCUCUGUCCACUCUUACUUAACCCUCAACUCACCUCCUGGUGCUGGCCAUGUGGCUAGGGUGCAGUCUGCCCAUUCAUUCAUUCAUUCAAUACCCACACAUCACAGGCACUUGCAAGUGUACAAUUCUGCACGGCAUAACAAAGGCCGGAGAAUAACAAAGGGGACUGUGCUGGGUGGAGAUGAGGGAGGGAACAGCACAGGUAAAGGCCCAGGGAUGGGAAACAGCUUGGUGCCUUGGAAAGAGGAUGGCGAGACCCGCGAAGCUAGAGCGGAGGGAGUAAGGUGAGCCUGGCCUCCAGGGCCUGGAGAACUGGGCCCUCCACCUUCUCCCAGAAGGUUCUGCUUGAGGCUGGCGAAGAUAUUCCCACCCAAGACUCCCAGCUCCCAGGAUGAGGGGCUCCACCUGCACACUCCUGCCUUCCAGGGAGCCUGGGCCACAGAGGCCUUGCCCCUCUUAUGGGCCCCCAGCGGGCCACCAGGGGGAGUGUCCUCCUGCUGGACUGGCUUCUUGAGUGAACAAGUGGACUAACCGUCUGUAAUUGCCUGAAUCCUGCCUUCACUACAUGUGGGCUGGGGCACUUCAGCCCUUUGAAGCCUCAACUGCAAAAUGAACAGCUCUUCCUUUCUCAGCUAUCUCGUGGAAAUGCGCUGGGAGGUCAGUACAGGGCGUGGCACUUGGUGAGGGUCCUACUCGCGGGGUUAUUACGUUCAUAGCCACGACUGUAAGAGGCCAAGGGGCUGCAAAUUGCCCACAGCUUCAGCCUGCAGCAGAAUGAGAGCUCCCUGAGGGCAGGCUCCUUGUCUGUCUCGUUCGUGGUUAUUCUCGUGAGCACUGGGGCACGCAGCGCAUGAUCAGUGUUUUAUCAAUGUUGAAUGGAUGGAUGGAUGAUGAAUUAAAAACUAAGAAGCGAGUGAAUGACCCGCUCUCUCCCCAAGGAAGGACGUUUAACUCAGAGGUCCUGCCUCUCUUUUGCUCCUGCCCAGGAUUCUGCCGCUCCCUGCUUCCGGGAACCACGCCACACUCUUACCUGCUGAGCGCCCCGGUUUUCCCCUCUGUAAGCGGGCGGCAGUACGAGCAGCCU
rnacentral:lncRNA from 1 species